GCAAUUUUCCAAAACUCCACGGUACGAGUACAUUCCUUUUGUUGCAAGGUUGUGAGGAGCAGGGAAACAGAAACAAACGGUGAAGAGGCAAAAGAAACAGAGUCCUGUGGGAGUCAAUUGAAGGGGUUGAUGAUGGAAAUUAAGAUGGCUAAGCUUCAAGCAUGCUACAAUUGUUGUCUGCUUAUUCAACUUGCUCACUGCCCAUUUCUUGCUUCAGGGAUUCCUCUCUGCUUCUUCAUUUGGCCAGUUCUCUUCUUCUCACCAACCCAAUUCAGUUUUACUUAGGUACAUGAAGGAAUCUGAGGAGGUACGCCGUGCCAUGAUACCUUUGGAUUUUAUCAAAAGAGGCUUUUUGGCAACGCUUUUGCUGAAGGAGAAGAAAGGAAUGGAGAGGUUGCUGAAUUUGAGGACUCUGAAAUCCCGAGAG